UGGUGAGUUGAGGCACUAACGGCUGUGACGAUGGCGGAUUGUGACCCUGAGACAUUGCUGGAAUGGCUGCAGAUAGGCAGCGGGGAGAUGCAAGAAAUGCAGCAUAUCGCCCUUGAACAACUGUGCAUGCUACUGCUCAUAUCUGACAACGUGGAUCGGGUGUUUGAAAGUUUCCCACCACGUACAUUCUUCUCGCAAUCACUUACUACCUUGAUGUAUCAGCCGAGUGCACUAGACGGAUUGUGGCUGUUGAGGGGGCUGUGAAGGCACUGUGUAACUGCCUUGUGCUGGUUGACAUGGAGUCUUGGACAAGCAAAGACCUAGCAGAGCAGUGUAUCAAGGUGCUAGAACUAGUAUGCACACGAGAAUCCGGGGCAGUGGUUGAAUCAGAUGGGCUGAACUGGUGUCUUGCAAUUCAUUUGCGAACAUGGCAGCCAGGUUCAUAAAGACACACUCCACUCAUGCAUGUCCGUCGUCACCCGGCUAUGUGGCAAGGUAGAACCCAAGGAUAGCUCCCAGCAGGAGUGUGUAAGCUCUGUCUCCGCCCUGCUCGAUCAUGAGGACCAUUUUGUGAGUGAGGACCAUUUUUUGAGUGACGGAUCCCUGGGCUGUUUUGCUUCCCUUGCUGACAGAUUCACUCGCAGAGGAGAAGACACAGCACCGCUAGCUGCUCACAGCCUUAUUAAUGUUCUCCUUCAAAGGCUGUGUCAGGCAGGUGAACCAGGUCUGAAUACACCCAUAUCAAGCAUGCCAGGGAAAGUGACAAUUACGCCAGAAGUGAAGUCAAGUCACAGUGUCUCCACCGUUAUCAGCCUGCUGUCCACACUGUAGAGGUUCACCUUCAAUCAACCACGAUCUACUGCGGUCUGACCUCCCACAUGCUAUAGAGUGCGGCCUCAAAGAUGACGAAAGAAAGUCAAGCCUCUCCCUGAUCAAGAAGAUGGUUCACUAUAUGAAGGCUCCGUUAUUGUUGUCUCUGUUAACCAUGGCGAUGAACCCGUGGGUACAAGUUUCCCGGCCUCACUGACGGAGGUGCUAAAUACAAAUGUCCUAGAUCACGAGGAUGAUGACUAUGGUCACCUGACCACUCUGCAAAUAAUUGAGGACAUGAAGGAAGGGGGAGAACUCUUCCUGGACCACUUUGCUCAUCUCAGACUGUUUGGCAAGGUUCUGUCCCUUGCUAGGCCAGAGAUGGAGGAGGAGACUGGGAUGGGGCCAGAAAAGUAGGAGGACAGUGGGAGUACGGAGAUUGUCCAGGGCUGCCCGUACCACUGGCGUGACUGGAGCCUGGUCCAGGGUCGUGACUGCCUCUACCUCUGGAGUGACGCGGCCGCUCUUGAGCUCUCCAGUGGAUCUAAUGGCUGGUUCCGCUUUAUCCUGGACAGCAAGCUUGCCACAAUGUACUCCAGUGGCAGUCCUGAAGGUGGAUCUGACUGUUUAGAGAAUCUGGGUGAAUUUCUGGAGAAACUUCAGCGAGCCCGAAGCCAGAUCAGGCUGGGUACUCCCAGUCAUCCUAUCUUGUCCACAGUGAACCCUGGCCGUAUUCUCGUAGGCAACUGGGUUAUAUCCUGCCGCAAGGAGGGCGAGCUGCAUGUACAGAACUCAAAUG